rnacentral:tRNA from 1 species
CUGCAGCUGGCUGAUGGUGGCGAAGCGCUGGUGGCUACGGUCUACGACCUGCUGCUGGCGCAGUACGGCGUGGAUCGCGGCUUCGGCGGCGGC